UUGAAAACACUCAUACAUUUUAAGGUUGUUUUAUUCAUAAUCAAGUUGAUGGUUCUCCAAUAAAACAUAAAGUUCUUACACACUUUAAGUUCCGAAAUUAAGAAAAAGUGCAUCUUUUCUUUUCAACAAAUCAUAGUGAUACAUUGUAACUCAUUAUACAAAACAACAACACUUAUUUCCAAGUUUAGAAUUACACUGUCCACCUUUUACAAAUCCCUUAUUGAUGCAAUCAGUAGAACAAUUGGGACUACAACUCCCUAUGCAGCAAAAUCUUGGGUCUACGUCACUCCCACGAAUACAUAUUGGCUUUUCAACUAAUAUUGGAGUCUUCAAACUUGUAAAAAUUUCUGAUCAAACAAAGAUAAUAAACAUUUCAAUUAAAUCUAGUUACGUUAUUUUAUCGAAAUAAUAUAUUACAAAAUAUAUAAAAUAUCUACCUUACCAGAUAUCAUAAUAAAACUCAUGCAUAUAAACAACCAGAAUAUAAGAAGAUUGAUAGCUUUUAAAGUCAUAUUUUGAAUUUCACCUUAUGUGUUUACUUUUUAUUUACAAGACACUAACAUUACUUUCAUUAUAUAGGAUAAAAGUUAUCUUAAUGGUAAUAAAUAUUAAUAUUUUAUUUUAUUUUAUUUUGAUUAUUAAAUUUGAAUAUAUAUUCAAAUGCAAAAAAUAUAUAUGUUUUAUUCUUUAUAUAUCUUUUACUAAAUCAAAUAAAAAAAUAUAAAGUAUCAAAAAUUAAUAUUAGAUAAAAAUAAAAUAUGGAAAAUAUAUUUUAGUCAAAUAAAAAUAGAAAAGAUAAUAUCUAUAAUAGGUAAAUAAUAAUAGGUAGAUCGCACAUGGAGCCCUAAACCUUAUCUACCUACGGUUUACAAUAUCUCAAAAAUCAUUAAUAAAUAGAAACUUUUGGAGACUUGGCCAAAAGUCAAGAAAACAACUAUUUCUAUCACCAAUUACCUCAAUUGAAAACAAUACAAAAACCAAAAAGAUAAAAUAAAUAAUGAUAAAUGAAAAAAAAUGCAUAGAAAAACAACAACAAUUAUAAAUACUAAAAUAAUGCAAUAAAUAUAGACUAAAAAAUUGUCUUAGUAAGGAUAAAUAUUUAUAUUUUAUUGGUUUAAAUAGUCUUUUGGUCAUUAUAAGUUAGUGAGUUUUUGAAUUUGGUCUAUAUAUUUUUUUGUCUGAGUUCUUAUAUCUCUCUUUUGUAUUACGAUUAGUGUCUGACGUUAAACUUCCGUUAAAAAAAUAAUGUGGUCAACAUUGCUGACGUGGGAGACUUUCUUUUUCAUUUUCCAUUUAUUUCUCCACUAUGUCAAUUAUUCCAUUUGAUAGUAUCAUUGUAACAAUAAUAUAUAUUCCACAAGUAAUUAAGUAUUUAAUAAAUUACUUAAUAUUUCAAAUAUAAAUGAUUAAAUAAUCUAUUUCGACUAUAAAUCCGCAUUAAUAUUCCAUUAAGUGCUUCAGUAUUAAUAUUUCACAUUAUUUAAUAAACAAAUUUUUAUUUCAUAUUAAUAGUUAUGGUUGAAAUAAGGAUUUAAUUAGCACAUUUUUAUUUCAUACUAUUUAAUAAUUAUUUGAUAUUAUAUUUUAAUUUAAUUUUUAUUGAUAUUUUUAGUAUUACUAAAUAGUUUAUCAAAUAUUUCAACUAUUAUAUAUUAAAUAAUUAUGUCAAAUUAUUUCAACUAUUUAAUAUUUCAAUUAUUAAUAUUUUAACUAUUAAUAUUUCAACUAUUUAUUUUAUUAAAUAUUUAUUCUAUUAAAAAAUUACUUAUUAAAUAUUACAUAUUUAGUCUUUAAGAUAUUAAAAUAUUAAUAGUUAUUUUAUUAAAUAUUAUAUUUAGUGUAUUAAAUGUUUAGUCUAUUAAUAAUUAUUUCAUUAAAUAUUAAAUAUUUAUUCUAUUAAAUAUUUAGUAUAUUAAUAAUUAAUAUACUAAAUGUUUAAUAUAUUUAAUAUUUCAUAUUUAAUAAAGUAAUUUUUUAAUAGAAUAUAUAUUUAAUAAACUAAGUAGUUGAUAUAUUAAUAGCUAAAAUAUUAAUAGUUGAAAUAGUAUAACACAAUUAUUUAAUGUAUAAUAAUUGAAAUAUUUAAUAAACUAUUUAAUAAUAUUAAUAAUAUUUAAUAUAUCAAUAAAAAUAAAAAUAUAAUAUAAUAUCAAAUAAUAAUUAAAUAGUUUGAAAUAAAAAAUAAUUAAUUAAACAAUCAUUUCAAAACCUAUAAAUAUUAAUAUGAAAUAAAAGUUAGUUUGUCAAAUAAUAUGAAAUACUAAUACUAUAGUACUUAAUAGAAUAUUAAGUAAUUUAUAGUUGAAAUAAAUUAAUUAGUCAUUAAGUAAUUUAUAGUCGAAAUAAAUUAAUUAAUCAUUAUAUUAAUCACACUUUCAAGUACUUUUUUAAAGAGAAAAGUGGUAAGAGUGUUUGAUUUCAAAAGAGCUUGUGGCACAUUUUGCAUUUAUUCCAACUUUCGCUCGAGAGUUCCUUGUGGAAUGCAAGUGCAUCCUCCGUCAUUUGUAAGGUGAGGUAAUAUCGUUUCAAUGCUUUUCUAGCUUUAUAAGUAAGUUCUUUCUUUUACCUGUUUAUUUCUUAAAGGUAUGUGAUAUAUUGUGUGUAUGAUACAUGUUAAAGUGUUCAUUUCCAAAAAUUUCAAGUGUAACCAUUGUGUGUUCCAUUUGACAUGUUUAUAGUGGCCUCAUUCAAAAUAUCUUCACAUGUGAUCUAUAUCUUUUACUAUUUCAUGCUUACAAUUAUGUGUUUUCAUGUUAUUGACUAGCAAAUCAUGAAAAACAACCAUAUGCACGUGUUUCUUAUAAUUAGUUAUGCAUAAGUAAAGUUGAGUCUUCCAAAGUCAUUUCAAAUUAAUAUGUGUCAAAAUUUUCAAGUUUUGGACCUCAUAUGUCGUAUAGGUCAGCACAUGAAAGUAAUGUUUUGUUUUUCAAAAUUGGUCCAAUAUGUGUUGACACAUGCUUGUGUAGGUCGGCACAUAAAAUUAAUUUUUGAAAUAUUUUAAAUUUUCUUAAGUAUGUGUUGACUCAUAACCUUUUUAGGUCGACACAUGCUUCCAAAAGGUCAACUCAUAAGUCAAUUUUGGUCAAUUUCACCUCAUUUCUCAUUCACUCUCAUACAUGCACCCAAAUCUCCAUCACUUUUCACUUCUUCUUUAGUUCUGCAAAUAAAUCAAUUAGCAUUAAAUCUUGUUAGAUUCAUUCACCAUCUAUAAUACACAUUCAAAUUUCCAACAAAUCAUUAUCAUUUUCAUCAAUUUUCUUCAUUUCAUCUUCAAAACCCCUCAUUUACCCAAACUCUCCAAAACUCCAAAUUCUCACUUGUUUUUGGUUUUUCUUCACUUCUUUGUGUGUUUUUGUGAAGGGACUCAAGCAGAAGCUUGGCGUUGAUAAAGGCUUAUAGACAUAACUUCUCCAUGAGAUAUUAUGGUCAUGCCACAUCAUCCCACUCUCCACCACCAAGGAAAAUCCAUUUUCCAUGGUAUAUAGGGAGGAUGUCAGGCUUCAUGUGGAAAUUGAUCAAGAGGUAAACAAUGUCGGAUUGGAAUGUAUGGUGGAAUUGAUCGAUGAAUUAAUAGAGGUCACCCAUGUCUGAGAAUUCACUACGAAGCAUAGAACCGCCAAAAGAUAUAACUCCAAAGUCAUGCCAUGAGAGAUGCAAUAACGCAACUUGGUCUUAAAGCAGGUGGUCUUACUCGCAUAAUAGAAAAAAAUAUAACCCAACUAGGAGGGGCCAUAUCACAUAUUCUAGAAGCUCUCUUAAGAGGCAUAUAAGUUAUAGGAACUAGAGGGAAAACUCCUACCCAGAACAUGGAAUGCUCUCCAUCUUAAGUAUUAUUACAAUUAGACUAUUGUAAUUUCUUAUCGAACAUAAUCAUUUAUCUAUGAACAAUUUUCAGAAUAUUUAUGACCAAUAAGGAUAUUUUAUAAUAUUUUGUAUGUUGGUUUUCAUGAAGAAGGCCAUUGUUGCCUCUUAAGGAAAUAUUUUAUAUGCUAGACUUCAUAGCGAAGGUCCUUGCCGCCUUUUACGGUAAUACUUUGUAUUCUGGACAUCAUGGAAAAGAUCUUUGUCUCCUCUUAAAAGAAGGCCAUUGUUGCCUCUUAAGGAAAUAUUUUAUAUGCUAGACUUCAUAGCGAAGGUCCUUGCCGCCUUUUACGGUAAUACUUUGUAUUCUGGACAUCAUGGAAAAGAUCUUUGUCUCCUCUUAAGGAAAUAUUUUAUAUGUUAUACUUCAUGGAAAAUGUCAUUGCCACCUCUUAAGGAAAUAUUUUGUAUGAUGUACUUCAUGGCGAAGGUUUUUGUCGCCUCUUAAGGAAAUACUUUAUAUGUUGGAAUUCAUGGAGGUGUUCCUUGUUGUCUCUUAAGGUAAUAUUUUGUAUGUUGGACUUUAUGGAGAAGAUCAUUGUCACCGAUUAAGGAAAUAAUUUGUAUGUUGAACUUCAUAACAAAGAUCUCUGCCACCCCUUAGGGCAAUACGAAUAAAGCUAUCCAACUCCUCACUUGAGGAAAUUAGAGUUUUAUCGGACGGGACUAAGACAUAUAAAUAUCACCCAAGAGGCGCGAUUGAAGUCUUUCCUAAGAGACUUAGUCUUAAGUCUUGUAUGAGGGCUUAAUAUAAGUCCCGCCUAAGAGAGUUAAUUCCUCGCCUGAGGGUUUAAGAUCCUCAUGUUGUCCAACUCCUUGCCUGGGGGAGUUAUUGUAUGAUUGACCAGGCUUCAUAUAACUCCGUAUGAGGGACUAAGAUCCCUAGGUUGUCCAACUCCUCGCAUGAGGGACUUACUGUCUCAUCAAGAAGGCUUUAUAUAACUUCAUAUAAGGGACUAAGAUCCCUAGGCUUUCGAACUCCUCAUCUGAGGGACUUAGAGUUUCCUCGGGAGGGACCAAGACAUAUAAAUCUCCCCCAAGAGGUACGACUAAAUUCUUGCCUAAGAGACUUAGUCUUAAGUCUUGUUUGAGGGCUUGCUAGAAGUCUUGCCCUAGAGGGUCAAUGCCUUACCUGAAGGAAUUACUAUCUCAUCAAUGAAACAAUAUAAUCUCUCUCGUAAAAAGCCUAAAGCCUAAUCAUCGUAACACGUCACACAUGUCAUCAAGAAACUUAGGGCCUAUGGGAUACUCCUAUGUUCCAUGGUCUAAACAAACUUUGUUCUCUAUAAAAGACCUCGUUCUUGAGGGACUCUAUAGUGUUAUAUUUCUAAAAGGUAUGAUAAGGGGGGAGAUGUGCCGCCCCAGGAAGGGAAAUAAUCAUAUGUCACCCUCGGGGAAGUAUCAUCUUACCCCCAGUAUUUCCCUCUUGCUCAAUCAUGGGAAACAUGGAAUAAGACGUUUCUUGGGCAGAGAGAUGUCAGAGCCAGUAAUUGAACCAUGUCUCCCUUGGAAAUUGGGAUUCAAUGGCCCAUCAUUGAUGGAAUGGACGGUAAUCCUUCCCAAGGAAACCAUAGGCCCAAGGCCUCUAUAAAUACCUUUUCCCUAAUAGGAGGAGGACAAAUCUUAACUCAUAUAGAUCACAUCUUAGGUAUUCCUAUGUUAAAAUCCCGAUGCUUAUAAAAGGAGCCUCUCACCUCACGUGAGCAGGUCCUCUAAACCUCCAUAAACAUCACCAUAUAUGGCUUCCCGCCGCUGUGAGCAAGCCCUAACCAUCAUACAUCAUAAUAUACUUAUUAACGUCUCUGAAUGUCCCUCCCCUCUCAGAGAUAACAUACACACAUGUACUUUUUGACCAAUACAUAAAUAAAUGUAGUCGUCAGAGAUUGAACUCUAAAUCAAUAGUUUACACUCAUUUAACUCAACUAUCGCAUAUUAGUUGAGCUACCCAGUCUAGAAACAAUGAAUUUUUUAUUAAAAUAGAAAAUCCUUUUAAAUUUCAUAAAUCAAAAAAUUAUUUAAAAAUUUAAAGAGACUAUUAAAAAAAAUUAAUAUCUAAAUUUCUAAUCCUUAUUGUUGAAAGGUUUUUUUAUUUUUCUUAAAAGUCAAUAAUAUCAUAUAAUUUAUUUUAAUUUUUUCAUAUUUUUUUUGCAAAAAUAGUUUCCUAAAUUAAAAUAUUUAUUUAAUACAUCUCAUUAUCGUUGUAGUUUGAAUCAAGAAUACAUCUCAUUAAUUUAUUUAAAAAUAUUAGUUUAUGUAACUUAUCUUUCAACCAAUAGAUAUCCUAAGAGUCAAACUAUGGAUGGUAGAAGAACAUUGGAUUUUCCUUUCAUGCAUAUGCAUUCGCAUAUCUUUUUUAAUGCAUUUCAAAUCUUUUCCCCUCCUCAUUGAUCUGGAAAAGCUUUUUUGAAUCUCAUUUUGUCUUUGGUUUUGAGUGUAUAGCUCUAUAUUCAAAGCCUUGUUUACCAUUCAUCCCCAAAUCGCGUACAUUUAUAAAGCUCCAUUCAUUCUUCCUUAUGGGAUAUGAGUGCAUUAACUUACUCCUAUUUUUUCCUGCAUCAUCAUAAAAAACAAUAGCAUUGCAUUCCUCUUUCUUUGUUGCAUUAUCUCUCCAAAUAAUCAUUCUCUCGCAUUUCACAUUUCGCAUUGCAUCGGGUGUUUUUCUGCUAUGAACACUUCGAAGAAGGUCUCUUUUAUGGAAGAUAUUACUUCCUUUUAAGUCUCAAAUAUUCAUGUGAAAGCUUCGAAUGAUUUGGUUCGCCAGUGCUUUGAUAAUCUUGGCUUGGUAAAAGAAGUUUUCAUUCCUUCGAAACUUGGAGAACUGUUUAGUUUUGUUAGGUUUUCGGAGGUGAAAAAUUUGUGCAAAUUCCAAUCUUCCCUAGAGGAUGUGUGGAUGGGUUCUUUCAAGUUAAGAGUAAAUUUUGCUAGAUUUUCUAAGCAUCAUUAAGGUGUGGAGGCUUUACCUUAGACUGGUUCUAGGGUACAACAUGUAACUCAGUUUAGGGCAUCUUCUAAGAGUGGUUUUUCUCUUGGAACUAGCUUCAAAGAUAUGGUUAUCUCCUAUGGGAGAUUGGGUUUGAAACCUAUUGAACUUAUCACUUGUCCUUCUUCUUCCUCUAGGAAGUUUAAGUGGCUUGAUGUUGAGCAAGAUAAUGUCUUGGUCGCAUCUCUUUCACGCUGUUAUAUUGGGGUUAUGAACGCACAAAUACAAGUUCCCUUUGUCUUGAACAACUUAUCAUCCUAGGCUUUUCUUCAUUAAAAAUUUAUUCUAUGGGAGGUGGUUAUGCUCUUUUAAGCUCGACUUCUGAAGGAGCAUUAGAGGAUUUUUAUGCGAAUGAUGAAGAGAUUUGGAAACCUUUCUUCACUUUCAUGGUUCCAUGGUAUGUGUCUCUUAAUAUUUCCAAAAGGUCUGUUUGGGUCCUAUGCAGAGGUAUUCCACUCCAUGCAUGGAAAGACAGUGUUUUUUUGGAUAUUUGCCAAUUUUUUGGUAAAGUGUUAAAAGUCGAUUAGAACUCAUGUUCAAAUGUUGGUUUUGAAGCUGGUAGAAUUUUGAUCACUAAGGAACUUGGUCCCCUCAUUGGUAUGGAGGUCAAGCUUAAAGUUGGUGACUUGGUUUUUAUCUACUUAGGUGGUGGAAUAAGUUCCUUCUCGGUGCACUUCCAGUUCUCCUUUCUCACCUUCUCGUUCAGCUCUUGUGGAUGACGUAUGCUCUGUGUUGGGUGUCGUUGAUGGUCUAGCUAGUGAAUAUUUUUCUUGUGAUGGUUCUCAAGUUCAAUCAGUUUUUUGGUGGAAAUCCAAGCAAAAAUGGUGGAGUUUCAGGUGACUUCUGCGAGGAAGAAGGUGGUCAGGUUUCAAUGCAAGGUGGGUGCAGGAAUUUUCCACGUGGCUACUACUUCUUGUUUGGUAGGUGGGUAGUUGUCUCUUGGUGAUAGUGUAGCAUCUGAGGAGGACAGGCGUCAAGUUGUCUCACUUCAACCGGAUGUUUCGUUAUGUUCUUGUCUCGUCAACAAACUUCUUUCACUAAUCCUCAAAUGGCUUUGGACGAUUCUGCACAUGGUAAGGUGGGAUAUGGAGCUGAGCACACGCGUUUGAUUGGGGAGAAUUCAAACCCCACCUUAUCCCCUAGCAUCUUUUCAUACAUCUUUGUUGCACCCUCUCAUCUCUCUUCAUGUCCUAGAUUGGCGAUAUGUGGAGACAAGUCUCCUUCUCUCUCCUGGCUUAGGGCCCAUGUGUUUUUGGAAAAUAAUAAAGAAUAUUGGGUUGAUUCCUCAUUUGGUCCAUUUGCAGCAGGCUGUUCUCUUAACCUAGACCCACACUCUUUAACUCGCUCUCCUACCACCCCCAAAAAUACCUUUUUUCAUGAAAAAAAAUCUAGUGGAUGCCUCUUCUCUUGUGACUUCUGGUGAGUCUCUUGGUUCCCUCCCGACAAAUAAUCUUGUGAAGCCUUUAACUUUGGCUGGUCUUGAUCUUGAUAUGACUUCAAAUAUGGGGGAUGCAGAUGGUUGUGUGGCGUUAACGACGAUAAUUUCUCAAAUUGUUGAGCAGGCGUCAGACUCUCCUUUUAGGCUUACCCUAGAGCACCAUGCCAAGGACCUUCCCAUUCCUCAUAUGUAUUUAGGUAUUCCUAGUCCUAUAACUUCUAUUGUCUUUUGUUUACAUGACAGUACCCCCCCCCCCNNNNNNNNNNNNNNNNCCCGAAGCAUUUUCCCGUGGAAGGAUUGAACUCUCAGGGACUUAACUUGUCCAUUUUUCUAAAGGGUGCUUCUCUUCCUCAUGCUUCAUGUCACCGAAGUCCUACUCCUCUAUCACCUGAGUUUCUCAAUUUGUUGGAUAGUUAGAAAGUAGAUAGGAUUUUUAGGGAAGCCAAGAAGUUAGGUUGUACCUUUCUCAUUGACUACUUCUUGUUUGGAAGGUGGGGAGAUGUCUCUUGGUGAUAGUGUAGCAUUUGAAGCGGACAUGCGUCAAGUUGUCUCACUCAAACCGGAUGUUCCCUCUGUGUUCUUGUCCCGUCAACAGACUUUUUUCACUAAUCCUCAAAUGGCUUUAGAUGGUUUUUCACGUGUUCAGAUGGGACUAGGAGUUGUGCGCACGCGUUUGAUUGGGGAGAAUUUAAACCCCACCUUAUCCACUAGCAACUUUUCAGACAGCUUUGCUGCACCCUCUCAUCUCUCUUCAAGUCCUAGAUCGUCGACAUAUGGAGACAAGUCUCCUUAUCUCUCCUGGCUUAGGGCCCACAGGUUUUUGGAAAAUAAUAAAGAAGAUUGGGUUGAUGCCUCUUCUCUUGUGAGAAUUUUUUCUAAUGGAUGCCUCUUCUCUUAUGACUUCCGGUGAGUCUUUUGGUUCUCUCUUGGCAAAUAAUCUUGCGAAGCCUUUCACUUUGGUUAGUCUUGAUCUUGACCUGACUUCAAAGACGGGGGGUGUAGAUGGUUGUGUGGAGUUCAAAAUGAUAGUUUCUCAAAUUGUUGAGUGGAUGUCAGACUCUCCUUUUAGGCUUACCUCAUAGCACUAGGCCAAGGACCUUUUCUCUCCUAAUAUGGAUUCAGGUGUUGGUAGUCCUAUAACUUAUAUUGGAUUUUGUUUACACCAUAUUACCCCCGAGAAUAUUCUUGUGGAGGGCUUGAACUCUAAAGGAAUUAAUUUGUCCAUUUUCCUUGAGGGUGUUUCUCUUCCAUAUGCUUCAUGUCACCGAAGUCCUACUCCUCUAUCACCUGAGUUUCUCAAUUUGUUGGAUAGUCAGAAAGUAUAUAGGGUUUUUUGGGAAGCUAGGAAGUUAGGUUGUACCUUUCUCAUGAGUGAUGAGGUUGAUAUAAUAAUGUUAUUGGAUCUUGAAUCUAGAGAUAGACAAUUAAGGUCUGCUAGACUUUUUAGGAUUUGUACUCGAUGUUGAUUGGGUCUUUCAAUGUCCCUGGUUUCGGAAGCAGGAUAAAAAAGAACAAGAUGAGAGAUCUUAUUGGCUCUAAGUCCCUAGAGUUUCUUGCAUCCAUGAGAUUAAGUUACCUGAGGUCUCAACUUUUUUGGUCCAUUCCCUUUGGGGGAAUCCUUUUUGUGAGUGGAGGUUUUCCCCGUCUAUUGGUAAUAGUGGUAGCCUUAUUUCUAUUUUGUGUAAUUCGAAAGGGAUAUGUGCGUUCUCCUUUGUGGGUCCCGGUUACCUUGGGGUUUGUUUGGAGUAGGGAAUUUCUAAGACUAUAUGUGUGGUGAUUAGUAUUUAAUCCAAGUUCAGUCUUAGUGAGAAGAGAGCUCAGUGGAAAUAUUUUACUUCUUAGACGGGGCCCCCUUGGUGGUAGUGUCUGGUGUGUCCUUGGUGACUUUAAUUUUGUUUGUUCCCUCACUUAGAGGAUUGGUGUUGGUUUCACUGAGCACCGGGCGGAGGGUUCUCUUUGUGUGGAGUUUAGUAAUUUCAUUUCCCAGAUAGAGCUUUGGGACCUCCCUAUGGUAGGGAGAUGCUUCACUUGGUUCCAACCUUAUGGCAGGGUUGCUAGUCAUCUUGAUAGGAUUCUUAUUUCGGCUGAUUUGUGGGAUUUGUGGGGGUCUACCUUCCAAUGGUCUUUGCCGCAAGAUGCGUCUGACCACUUCCCGAUCAUCCUUAGGUAUUCUAAUAUAUUUUGGUGGCCUAAUCCUUUCUAGUUAAAUAAUAAUUGGCUUACCCAUCCUAAGCUCCCUUUUGUUGUCCCUUAUAGUUGGUCUUCUUCUGUGACCUCUAGAUGGAAAGCCUUUCUUCUUAAAGAAAAACUUAAAGCUCUCAAAGGGGCUCUAAAAGUUUGGAAUCAAUAAGUGUUUGGUUUUAUUAACUCUUAGAUUGAAUCGCUGAGGGAGAUGGUUAGCAGUAUUGAUUUGAUUCUUGAUUGUAGUGUCAUUUUUAAGGAGGAGAUCAUGUUUAGGGGUCAGGCUUCCUUGGAUCUCUGGUCCCUUCUCCGGUCCAAGGAUGCUCAGGUUGUUCAUAGGUCUUGAGCCAAGUGGCUAAAGGAAGGAGAUGCCAAUACUGGGUUUUUUCAUGCUUGCGUUAAGAGGAAAAGCAGGAGGAAUGAUAUCAUUGCUCUUAAGGUAGGUGAUGGUUGGGUUGAGGGGGUCUCUGAAUUUGUCAGGAUGUGGUUGAUCAUUUCUCUAAUCACUUUAGAGAACCCUUUGAUAACCAUCCUCGGCUUGAUGGGGUCUCCUUCCGCACUAUCUUUGAAGAGGAUAAUGACAAUCUCACUGCACCUUUCCUCCUUUCCGAGAUUGAUUGUGAAAUUGCCCUCUAUGAUGGAAAUAAGAGUCCUGGUCCAUAUGGUCUCAACCUCUUUUUCUUCAAGGCCUCUUCUCAUAAAGGAUUUUGGUCUGAUGUUUUCCCAUUUCCAUCAGUUUUCUACUCUUCCCUGCAGUUUUCCUCUUUCUUUAUGGCUUUGAUCCCCAAGGUUGGUUCCCAUUCCCACUUAGGGGAUUUUAGACCCAUCUCUUUGGUUGGAUCUCUCUAUAAUAUUAUUUCUAAGGUCUUGGUUUCUUGGCUUUCUAGCGUCAUGGAUAAGCUCAUCCCUACUAUCCAUUCUACUUUUCUUAAGGGUAGACUCCUAGUGGAUGAGGUGAUUAUUGUGAAUGAGCUUGUGGAUCUUGUCAAGUGGGGAAACCACUCUCAUCUCCUCUUUAAAGUAGACUUUGAUAAAGAUUAUGACUUUGUUAGAAGGUCUUUCCUUAACUAUAUGCUCUCCAGGUUUGUAUUUAAUGAUAAGUAGAGGAGUUGGAUUAGAGCUUGUGUUUUUUAUGGCAAUCUUAUUAUCCUGGUGAAUGGUUGCCCUACUCAAGAGAUUAAUAUUCAAAGGGGUAUGAAGCAGGGAGACCCCCUUGCCCAUUUUCUCUUUCUCAUGGUUACCAAAGGCUUUAGUGGCAUGAUAUAUAUGGUUGUAGACUUGCACCUUCUUUCUAGAAUUAUAGUUGGUUCCUCGAACUUACUGGUGUCCCAUCUUCAGUAUGUUGAUGACACGAUUAUUCUGGUUGAUGCUACUAUUGAUAACCUUUGGACCACUAUGGCUAUUAUUUAUGGGUUUGAACUUGCUUAUGGUCUUCGAGUGAACAUUGCUAAGAGCUCCAUUAUUAGGGUGAAUUCUGACUAGGGUUUCUUAGAUCUUGCUUUCAAGUUUCUCCAUCAUAGGAAGGAGUCUCUCCUUUUCAAGUAUCUUGGUCUCCCGGUUGGAGCUAACCAUCGACUUGCUUCAACUUGGGAACCUUUUAUUAGCAUUGUUUGUAGGAGGCUCCUUUCAUGGAAGCAUAUGUAUGUAUCUCUAGGGGGUAUAGUCAUCCUCCUUAACUCCAUCCUUAAUGUUAUUCCUAUCUUUUACUUAUCUUUCCUUAAGAUGCCUAUUAAAGUUUGGAAGAAGAUAAUGAAGAUCAAGAGGAAGUUCCUUUAGGUAGGAGUGAAAGGUUAGUCUAAAAUUUCCCGGGUCAAGUGGGAGGAUGUGUGCAAGCCCAAAAGGUUAGGAGGCUUUGGUUUUCGUGACCUCGGUUAUCUAACUUGGUCCUCCUAAGAAAAUGGAUGUAGUGUCUGCUUUCGGGGGGCUUCAGGUAUAUGGUAAGACAUCCUUGUGUCCAGAUAUGAUGUAUCCCCAAAGACCUUUAUUAUGGGUGGGAGAGUUGGUCGACUUAGGUUGGCUUCAUCUUGGUGGAGAGGGGCUUCCCUUCUAGGCUCUAUACUGGCUUAUUCUACUGACUGGUUUUAGGAUGGUCUCUCCUUGAGAGUUGGUUGUGGUCUGCUUACUUCCUUUUUAGAGCAUAUCUAGGUUGGGGACUCCAUCUCGGGUCAUAGAUUCCCUCGCCUCUUUUUUUUAUUUCGGACCAGAUCUCUGAAUAUGUUAGGGAGGUUAGUAGUUGGGACAAGGGUACUUGGGUUUGGGAUCUUAGGUGGAGGAGGGAUCUUCUUUGCUAUUAUGAGUUGGAUCUUCUUAGUGAUCUCUAGUCUUUGAUUAGAGUUUUCACCCCUUAUAUUAUGAGUGAUGAGUGAAUGUGGAUGGAUUCAAGAGAUGGGGUGUAUUAUAUAGGUUUCGCCUACUCUUGCCUUUAGGAACAUGCUUCUCCCCUAGGGCGUCUGGCCACCCCUUUCUGAGUUAGUUGUUCCAGAUAUUUGGUCUAUUGGCCCCCCACUAAGGUUAUUGUUUUCUCUUGGCAACUUCUUUAGGAUCGUAUCCCUACCAGAAAAACUUACUUAAGAGGGGGGCUUUUUGACCGAUGGGACCUUUUCUUGUCCCUUAUGUUUGCUGCAUAUUGAGUCUUCCUCUCAGCUUUUUGUAACUUGUGAUGUUGCUUCAUCUAUUUGGUAUAGGAUUUUCAGGUGGGUGGGUGGUGUACUAUUUUUCCUAGUGAUAUUUUGACCCUUUUUUAGAUGUUUAUCCGUUCACCGAAUUGUUGUUAGGUCUACAUGGGGUGUUGCAGAUGAUUUAGCAUGUCGUUGUUUGUUCGAUUUGGAAUACUUUGAAUGAUAUAGUUUUUAUGGGUUUUCGGUGACAUCAAAGAAUGUGGGAGAUAUAAGCAUCUUCUUGGCUUGAAACUGGUAUCUUGGUAGGUUCGCUGAUAACUCUUGUGGUUUUUCGGACUGGUAUAAGAACGUAUCAUGUUUCUUAGCCGAUAGAGGACUGAGCAUCUCCGAUAUCCAUUGAAUGUGUUCUUGUUACAUCUUUCGUGGUUGUGGUUCUCUUUUCAGGUGUCUCAGAUUAGAGAGCUCUAGCUUUGCAUGUUAUUGGAUUACUGUGUGUUUCUUUGGCUCUGCUUUACUUGUUUUUGCUUUGGUUGGUGGUGUAGUUUGUAGUUUUUCUUAGUUGUUGUUGUGUUUUUGUGUUUUUUUUCUUAUUUAGUCAUGACCCCGAAGUUGUUACUUCUUGUGCCAUCUAUCAUACCCCAAAAUGUUCCCUCCCCUUUUCACAUUUUCACUCAACCCUUGACUUAAGAAUCAUCUUCACAUAAUCACCUUUCAUUCAUAGGCAUCAUUCAUUCAUUGAUACUUUGCAGUUGAUAAUUAUAGAUUCAAAGCUCUUGGCUUCCAAAGUUAGGGUUUAUGUGUGGAUCAAACCUUCAAGGUAUGACUUGGUUCUUCAUCUGAUCAUAGUAAAUGUGAAACCUUGAUUUCUUGGUCUUUGAAGCAUGGAUUCAAUAAGAUCUCAUCAUGGCACUCAUCAGGUCUUUCAAACCCUAAUUUCUUGAUGAUUUGGCUACGGGUCCUUAUGAAUGUCUUGUGGGCCUUGUCUUGUCUAUCAAAACCCUAACUUGGGAUUCAUACAUUGAAGACUUGCUGGUGAAGCAUCAUGGUUGAUUCAACAAAGACCUUGAUUGAAGGGUAUGCCUCAUGAAACCCUAAUUAGGGAAGAUGUGGUCCUAUUGUGCCUUGUGGAUUGACUUUUCAUCAGGUGAUAUUGGAAACCAUAAUAUAUGGGGAAGUGAUGCUUGACUAUCAUAUCGUGCAUCAUCCAUUAUCCACAUGCCUACAUGGUGGAUAUUUCAUCUAAUUCAAAUCUUGGCUCAAACAUCCAUAUGUGCAGAUGGCCAGGGAUGACUAAUUUCAUUCAAAUUUUGGUUCCAUUGGUUUAAAUAUUAGUCAUUGUUUCAUAUGAAUCAUAUCUUGUUUGCAUUACACAUUAAAACCUUAAUUCAAGAUCCACAAUUGACUUUUUUGUCAACCAUCCAUUCAAAGGUCCAUUUUUGCAUCAUUGAUCAUUUGCAUUGGUUUCAAUCUACACUUUUUUUAUCAAACAUUCAAGUUCAUAACCAUUUAGUCCAAAAGCAUGGCAUUCAAUAAGAUAGCAUUCUUUUCCAUUUCUGAUUCAUUUAAUUCAAAUUAAACAAUUCAAGAAUCAAACUCAAUAUAUUUCCCAUUCAAUGUUCAAACUUUCACCCAUAAAUUAUUUUUCAUUUACAAAUUCGUUUAUGUACAUUCCGUUCAUAAACACUUGCCCUGCAAAUAUAGUUUCCUUUUUCAUUCAUUCACAUACACAUUCUAAUCUUUCCUUUCAAAUUUUCAUUCAAAAACCAACUUUCAUUUAUUAAAGAUCCAUGUACAUAAUCCAUGUAAAUACCUUACACUUUACAAAUGAGUUAAUAAAAAACAAACUAGCAUACAACCUAGCAUAUCCUAACUCCUAAGCUACUAAUUCAUGGCCAAGGUUCCUCCCAUAUGUUACAUUCCAAACACCAUGGCACAAGUUGAAUCUCCAUUGCAUGAUAUACGAGCAAAGUUAACAUUCACGCGUGCAACCCAACCAAGCAUCAAUUCAUGGAAAGUAUUUUACCGCUAAGCAUUAUGCAUAAUCUUUGACAGGAAAACAGAAUUUGAAUACAAUCCAUUGCCCUGCUAAUAGCAUUAUGCAAAAGAAGUCAUGAACAUUUAGCUCAAAAUCGUUUUCAUUUUCAGUUUUCAAUUAAUUCUCACAUAUCAGGCUGACUGAAUUUCACUCCCGUGCACUUUGGGCCUUCCCUUUCCCUGGGGCUAACGUUUUUCUCAAUGCACCCUCAAACAAGCCCGUGUACCCCUGUUGUGGAAUAAAGGCAGAUCUGGGCCUUAAAAUGGGCCUGCACCACACUUGGACUUGGCAGACCCUGUGUCUGCUGGUUGCACCCCUGGUCUCAUUUUCAUGUUUUCAAUUUCUUUUUUUCUUAGUUUUUUUAGUAUUUCUUUAUUUGUUUUACAUGAUAAUUGUUUACAAGUUUUCACAUAAAAAUAAAUUUGUGGAUUUAAUUAUUUGAUUUGUUUAGACUAAUUAAGUUUUUAAUUUGAAUUUGUGGUUAGAUUUGAAUUAGGAUUUAGAUAGUUCUUAUUGAAAUUUGAUUUAGAAAUUAAUCCACAUCCAUGAAAAUUGACAAUUUUAACCCUAAGGUUUAAUUUUAGAUUUUCAUGUUCCCUUAGAUUAGGAUAUGCCUUAGAAUAAUUGGUCAUUUUUAAUGGACUUUUCAUAUGAUAUUAAGUAGAUUGUUAAUGUGAUCCUAAUUGUGGCAUGAUCCCCUAAUUAGGCUUUUUAUCUGUUAUUGACCUUUAGAUUAGGUUGUAUAUUAUUAACCAUAAUUCUCAAUUUAAUUCAAACUCUUUGAUUUAGGUUGAUCAAAAGAAAUUUUAAUUAAUAAAAUUCUUUGAUUCAUGUAUAAUCCCACAGUCUAUUCAAGUGAUCAAAAGUCCCUUGAUCACUUGAUAAGACUAUUUCUGUUAGAUGUGGAUCUCAAGGCCUCAAGUCCAGACUUUCAUGCAAGGCAUCCUAGGCAAAUCAAACAGUGGAUUAUACAAGGCAUAUCAAAGGUUUUUCUUCAAGAUCUUGUCAAUCAAGAUCAAAUUGUGUGACAUGAGCUUUAAGAAAUAGGGAAUGAAUCAGAGUGGAGAAUUCCAUCGCAUUCACCUUUAUUCAUAUACUUUAGCAUAAUUCAAAUCACAUGAUUGCCAAGUCUCCCUUCAAAGCAACUGUGCAACAAUCAGAGGUAUUAAGUAAUAAAGCAUAAUUCAAAUCACAUAAUCAACAACUUAUCAAUCAUGAUUCAAUUUGUAUGCCAUGAGCCUUAAGUAAUAAAGAAUGAUGAGAAUGGAGAAUUCCUAUUCUUGUCUAGGGUAUCCUUUGGUACCGGACGAAUGAUCCAGCUACUCAAGGUAUUCGCCUUUGUUCAUAGACUUUAAUGCAAUUUGAACCGAAUGAUUGAUAAGGUCUUCAUCAUCAUAGGGAGUAGCAAGGCUUCUUCUUCAGCAAAUUGAAAAUUAUGAUGAGAAUCACAUGCCAUGAGCCUUAAGUAGUAAAGAAUGAAUGAGAGUGGGGAACUCUAUUAACUCAUUCUGAAUAUCUUUGGGUACGAGAAGAAUGACCCAAUUGCUUAUCAUAUUCACCUUUACUCAUAGAAUUUAGUGUAGUUCAUAUCCAAUGAAUGUCGAGUCUUCUUCAUCAUCUAUUAUCAUAUAUCAUUUCUCUUGCCUCAAUCUCUUGCUAUCAGUCUUAGUAGGCUGAGCUACGAAAGCUAUGACUUUCUCAUUGCACGAUGAGAAUACGUAGGCACGAGGAUUCAGAUUCUCUGCGAGCUACCUUAUUUAGUUCUACCCAAUUUGUAAUUCUUCAUAAAUCAAUACCAUAUUUUUGGAACCAAAUACUUUAUCCCUUUGGAUUCCAUAGCCAAUGCCUUCCAUUGAACCAAGAGAUGUUUUCUUUCGAAUCAAACGCUUAAUUCUCUUUAUUUUUUUUGUUAUGACAAUAUAGUAGGUAUGCCUCUGUCCCUCCAAAUUUUAGUAUGUACAUCUUUACUCUUUGGUUCAGAGUUUAUUCCUUCAUGGAUCCAAUAUACCAUUCUUCUUUGGUUUCAAUUUGUUUGUUCCUUAUAGUGAUAUAUUAUUCCUUGUACCAAUCAUCAUUCUCCUCUGGGUCCCAUACCUACCUUUUUAGGACAUUUGUUCAUCUUGUGAACCAAGAGAUGUUUUCCUUUAUGCCAAACACUUAAUUCAUUAUUUUUCUGUCAGGACAAUAUAGUGGGUAUGCCUUUGUCCCUCCACAUAUUAGUUUGUACCUCUUUACUCUUUGGUUCAAAGAAUUUGACUUCAUGGUACCCCAAGCCACCUUAUUCUUUUGGUAAAAGUUACACUGCUCAUCACUGCAAUAAUACCCUUGAAGUUGUGUUUGUCUUGUUAUUCCUAGUUGCGUAGGAAAACACCUCUUCAUUUCUUCUCUUUGUUUUCGUGGUUCCACGAACUACGAUGCUCUGACUUUAUCAUUGCACGAUGAGAAUAUGUAGGCAUAGGGCUUCGAACCCUUGGCGAGCAUAUUCCUAUUUAUUCCUCCAUCUCUGUCUUAGGGCACCAUCCAUAUCUCUCAUGAUCCAUCAUCUAUCUUCAAUCAUAAACAUUCAUCCCAUUGACACACUAUUUCUUUGAAACCAAGCACGGUUUUCUUUGGAAUUCCAUAUAUACCCUUUUAGGACACUUGUCCACCUUUGUGCCAAGAGAUGUUUGCCUUGAUGCCAAACACUUAAUUCCUUCUUUUUGGUCAUGAUAAUACAUUGGGUAUGCCUUUGUCCCUCCACAUCCUAGUUUAUACCACCUUUCUCGGGGGAUGCAAAUACCAUUUACCCUAUGGAUUCCAAUAUACCCUUACCUUUGGUUCCAAAUUAUAACCCUUAGUGACUUUCACCAAACCCUUCAUUUCUUUGACUUUGGUUACUUUUCCUAUCACUCCAUUCAUUUCCAUGAGGCAUCCAUAAUUUUACAUUCAUUCACUUCAUGUGAUAUACUAUUAUCUUUGAGCCAAAUACAUUAUCCCUUUGAGCUCCAUCUUGUGUCUACUUGUGAACCAAGAGAUGUUUGCCUUGAUGCCAAACACAUAAUUCUUUUUUUGGGUUAUGAUAAUACAUUGGGCAUGCCUAGUUUACCCCAUAUCUUAGUCUAUACCAUCUUUACUCUUGGGUUCUGAUUUCAUCCCUUUUUGGAGUCAAACACAUUAUCCUUUUGUUCAAACCAUAUUCGUUAUCAAAACUUAUUUUCACCUCCCACCAUUAGUUCUAUAAAUUACAGAGCUCUAAAUUUCUUAUUGCACUAUAAGGAUAUGUAGACAUGAGAGCCCUAAUCUUCUCCGAGCACUUUAUCUAUUCUUUUUUCCCUUCAUUCUUUCUUGAGUAAUCCUUAGAUAUAACACCCAUCUGAGCAAGAACAAUCAAAAUGGUUCCUAUUGAGUACAACGGAUGUUAGGGGUGCUAAUAUCUUCCCCUUGCAUAACCGACAUCCUUACCCAAUUAUAUCUUUCCCUGGGUUUUAUCUAUGUUUUCCCUUUUCUUAGGGAAUAUAUAAAGUUCGAUAGCGACUCUGUUGUAUGUUCGAGUGUGCAAUGCAUUCAGGUAUAUUUCCACUAGCUUCACCAUCCUCAAGUGUUUUAUACACUGGUUGUUGAACCUCUCUCUCUCUCUCUCUCUCUCUCUAUCUGUUGUAUGUUCGAGUGUGCAAUGCAUUCAGGUAUAUUUCCACUAGCUUCACCAUCCUCAAGUGUUUUAUACACUGGUUGUUGAACCUCUCUCUCUCUCUCUCUCUCUCUCUCUCUCUCUCUCUCUCUCUCUCUACUUUGAUUCAUUUUUAACUUUUAGUCCCUCAAUUUUAAAAAUCCAUUUUUUGGUCCUUGAACUUUUAUAUCACUUGAGAUUUUGAUGCCCCCUCCAAUUUAGCACACGUGGAAAUGAUGAUUGAGACAAAAAAAAUAUUCUUGAUGAGUUGGAAAUGAUGACAUGAUUAUUUAUUAUUUCAUAAUUUUUAAUUAAUUAAUCAAUAAUUUUAUUUAAUUUUUUUAGAAGUUUAAUUUUUUUUAAUUAAUAUUUGUCCCUUUUGCAAGAAAAGUAACAUUCCAUGAGUCAGGAAUUACACCUUUGCAAAGAGCAGGAGUUCGCCCCUUUCUGAUUACAUUUUAUAUGGUAUCAACGACGAUUAUGAAGAAAAAGAGAAGUGAUGCAUAUUUUAAUAGGAACCAAACUUUGUCUAUAUUUUGGAUUGCACUAUAAUUCAAUAUAUUCUGUAUGUCAGAGAUGUUCACUGCAAUUGAACUGGUUGAAAUAAAAGAGUCAUAUACUCAUAUUUUUAAAAACAUAGAGAAGAAAUGUGUACCUUAGAGGAAAAAUUAAACAACUUUGAAUCUUUGAUUUUAUUCUCCUUGCAAAAGUUUAAAUAUUUAUUAAAAAAAUAGAAAAUGAAUAAAAUAUAUUAAAAUUAGGGAUUAAAAAAUUAAACAACUUUGAAUCUUUGAUUUUAUUCUCCUUGCAAAAGUUUAAAUAUUUAUUAAAAAAAUAGAAAAUGAAUAAAAUAUAUUAAAAUUAGGGAUUUGAUAUAAUCCAAAAAUCAAAAGAAUCUUUUUUAAUAAAAUUACCUUUUAACUAAGCCUGUUGAAGAUUUUUUGAUGAAAAAUAUGAGUUUGGUGGUGGAAGAGUGAGGUUAAUGACGUAACAUCCGGGGGAAAUGAAAAAACCAGACAAGUAGAAAGAGAAAUAGAUGCUGAAGUGGUGGAGGAAUGGGGAAAUGAAAGUGGUGCAUCAAAAUAUGAUUGUAUUUGAGGGGGCUCCCCAUGCCAGUUGAACGAUAAUAAAUAGUUAGGGUAGCCCCUCACAAAUUAUAAUGACUUUAUUAAAGAGACAGACGUGCGCUCAGGUGAUGGGAUAAUGUGCAGAUGCAACUCAAAUUAGUUAGGGGUUGUCCCUCAGAAAUGCAAUAGAAAUAUAUGGCUAGGGGUUACCCUUCACAAAUGUAAACACCUUUAUUAAAGUGACUGACACAAAGUAGUUGUGACAGAACAAUUUUAAAAUGGUUGAAACUAUUAGCUAUGGGUUUCUGUUUCCCCUUGCUAAUGUUACCGAAACUUUUAGCUAGGGUUUUCUGUUUCCCCUUGCUAAUGUUACCGAAACUUUUAGCUAUGGGUUUCCCCUCAAAAUGGUAAAUUUCAAAAUUUAAAAUAUCCCUUCUUAAGAUUUGGAGGGGUUGCCCCACACAAUUUGCUUUAUUAAUUUUUUUAUUUUAUUUUUAUUUUAUGCAUUGCGAUGGAAUAAACCCCAAACAAUAUAAAAAUUUAGUGAGAGGUUUUUCACCUCACAAAUGCCCCAGACUAAUCAAGCAAUUUCUUGUAGUGGACAACUCCGUUGAUCCCUCGUUAUUAGUUUGUCCCUCUUUAAAACACUUUAUUAAUGCUUUCUCACAAUAAAUGUCUUUUUAUUAACAUUCUUUAUUGACUUUCUAUUAGUUGAAAAAUUCAAGUGUAACAAUUAUAUUAUAUUUUCAUUAAAAAAUGUUUAAAAACAUAUUCGAUGAAUUUCAUUUUCUAAUUUUAAGUUUUAAUAUGUUAAAUGUUAUAUUUUAAACCAAACUUAUUAUUUUGCCGCAUAUUUAUAAUAUUUGAAUUAAAAAAUUUAAUAUGUCAAUUUUAAUAUCUUAAAAUUGAUUGAAAAUAAACCAUAUUAAAUUGAAUUUGUUAAAUUCAAUUUUUUAAAAAGUUAUUCAUAAUGGAACCAAACAAUUUAUAUUAUAAUGUUUUCUUCAAAACCAUUCAAAUCACCUUGCGAACACUCAUACAUUUUAAGGUGGUUUUAUUCAUAAUCAAGUUGAUGGUUCUCCAAUAAAACAUAAAGUUCUUACACACUUUAAUUUCCAAAAUUAAGAAAAAGUGCAUCUUUUAUUUUCAAUAAGCAUAGUGAUACAUUGUAAAUCAUUAUACAAAACAACAACACUUAUUUCCAAGUUGAGAAUUACACUGUCCACCUUUUACAAAUCCCUUAUUGAUGCAAUCAGUAGAACAAUUGGGACUACAACUCCCUAUGCAGCAAAAUCUUGGGUCUACGUCACUCCCACGAAUACAUAUUGGCUUUUCAACUAAUCUUGGAGUCUUCAAACUUGUAACAAUUUAUGAAUCAAACAAAGACAAUAACAUUUUCCAUUAAAUCUAUUAAGUUAUUUAUCUAAACAAUAUAUUACAAAAGAUAGAAAAAAAUCUACUUACCAGAUAUCAUAAUAAAACUCAUGCAUAAAACAACCAGAAUAUAAGAAGAUUGAUAGCUUUUAGAAGUCAUAUUUUGAAUUUCA
rnacentral:lncRNA from 1 species